ensembl:lncRNA
GAAAGGUUUGACAUUACAAUGAAGAUAUGACAUUGGUCAAUGUUUUUGUUUUACACCUACUUUGAUAAUUUGUGCAUUGAAUAUGGACAUGGUUCAACCAGACCCUGGGAUUUGUACUGAGAUGGGAGUUUCAGAUCUGUUGGGUGAUCAGAAAUGAAGAGGUCACGAUGUGAACACUGUGCAGUAGGGACCCCUUCUCAGCAGAGCCAGUACGGAAAUCCUUAUGCCAACACGUCAGACCAACAGUUCCACAGUGACAAUGAUGCCCUGAACUACACUGCCGUGAUGUUCACUGAAAUGAAGAGUACCAAGCCCAGGAGACAGAGGAGAAAACAGAGAGAGGAAGAAACCAUCUACUCUGGUGUGUCAGAUAGACAGGAUGUGGCAGUCCUCCAUUCAGUAUCACAGGCGGCCGGUGGCACUUUAAUUGGGGUUCAUAGUAAUGGCUAGAACUGAAUAAAUGGAAUGCUAUUGAACGCAUCAAACAUAUGGAUACCAUUGCAUUCACUCCAUUCCAGCCAUUGUUAUUAGCUGACCUCCCCUAAGCAGCCUCCUGUGAUCAGCAUAAUUCUAAGUUAAGCCCCACCCCUCCUCUGAAUUCCACUUUGAUCUUGACUGUGUCUGUGUGACCUGGCUAUUUUGUACACUUCCGGUUUGUUGUAGAAUGCCAUUGCAGGGGCCUAGCUUCACCAUAAUUUUCCCCAAAGUAUGAAAGCUGAUACUAGGAUGGUUUCAGAAGUCUCAAAUCCUCACCAAUAGUGGCUGAGGUUGACUGACUGGAUACAUUUGGUUUUGUAGAAGUGUACCACAAAAUAUAUAUUUUGAUUUUCAAAUGUCUGAACUCUUCCUUUUCAUGAUAAUACUUGUAACAUGGAGCUCUGUAACCUGCCCUUAUGAUUUAUUGAUAUUU